rnacentral:misc_RNA from 1 species
GAUUUUAUUUUUUAUGUUUUUAGAUGUUUAUAUUAUUUGAAUGUUUUAUUCAAAUAAUAUAAAAAAUAAAAUAUAUAUAUUGACAUGGAUUAAACAAAGAUAUAUAUUAUUCUAUGUUGUAUAAACAAAUUGGCAGAAUAGAGAUGGAAGAUAAAAAUAUGGUCAAAGUAAUAAGAGUCUAUGGUGAAUGCCUAGGAGCUUUAAGGCGAAGAAGGUCGUGGUAAGCUGCGAAAAGCUUGGGGGAGAAGCAAACAUUUAUUGAUCCCAAGAUUACCGAAUGGAGUAAUCCAGCUAGCAAGAUGCUAGCUAUCUAUUAUUUAAAUAAUAGAGGCGAUACCAGG